AUUGAACGCUGGCGGCAUGCCUUACACAUGCAAGUCGAACGGUAACAGGUCCUCGGAUGCUGACGAGUGGCGAACGGGUGAGUAAUACAUCGGAACGUGCCCGCGAGUGGGGGAUAACGAAGCGAAAGCUUUGCUAAUACCGCCUACGAUCUCAGGAUGAAAGCAGGGGACCGCAAGUCCUUGCGCUCAAGGAGCGGCCGAUGGCAGAUUAGGUAGUCGGUAGGAUAAAAGCUUACCAAGCCGACGAUAUGUAGCUGGUCUGAGAGGACGACCAGCCACACUGGGACUGGGACACGGCCCAGACUCCUACGGGAGGCAGCAGUGGGGAAUUUUGGACAAUGGGCGCAAUCCUGAUCCAGCCAUGCCGCGUGCAGGAUGAAGGCCUUCGGGUUGUAAACUGCUUUUGUACGGAACGAAAAGACUCCUUCUAAUAAAGGGGGUCCAUGACGGUACCGUAAGAAUAAGCACCGGCUAACUACGUGCCAGCCGCCGCCGUAACAC
rnacentral:rRNA from 1 species